rnacentral:rRNA from 1 species
CCUGGCUUAGAACGAACGCUGGCGGCGUGCUUAACACAUGCAAGUCGAACGCGAAAGGGACUUCGGUCCUGAGUAAAGUGGCGCACGGGUGAGUAACGCGUAGAUAACCUGUCUUCAUGUCUGGAAUAAUACGCCGAAAGGGGUACUAAUACCGGAUAUUCUUGCUUUUCAUAAGUUAUGCAAGCAAAGGUGGCCUCUGCAUAUGCUACUGCAUGAAGAGGGGUCUGCGUACCAUUAGCUAGUAGGUGGGGUAAUGGCCUACCUAGGCGGACGAUGGUUAGCGGGUCUGAGAGGAUGAUCCGCCACACUGGCACUGGAACACGGGCCAGACUCCUACGGGAGGCAGCAGUGAGGAAUAUUGCGCAAUGGGGGAAACCCUGACGCAGCGACGCCGCGUGAGUGGGGAAGGCCUUCGGGUCGUAAAGCUCUGUCAAGAGGAAAGAAGUGUACAAUGGCUAAUACCUGUUGUAUUUGACGGUACCUCUAAAGGAAGCACCGGCUAACUCCGUGCCAGCCGCAGC